UACGGGGGGAGCAAGCGUUGUUCGGAUUUACUGGGCGUAAAGGGCGCGUAGGCGGCCACCGCAAGUCGACUGUGAAAUCUCCGGGCUUAACCCGGAAAGGUCAGCCGAUACUGCGGGGCUAGAGUGCAGAAGGGGCAACUGGAAUUCUCGGUGUAGCGGUGAAAUGCGUAGAUAUCGGGAGGAACACCAGUGGCGAAAGCGGCUACCUGGCCCAUUCUUGACGCUGAGGCGCGAAAGCUAGGGGAGCAAACGGG
rnacentral:rRNA from 1 species